rnacentral:lncRNA from 1 species
CACUUUAAUGCUGAAAAAAAUGCACACUAACAUCUGAGCCUUUGGUGAUUUGCAGCCUUUUUGCGGUAGUAAGACCAAGUGAAGCGAAGUGAUGUUGCUCAGUUGUGUCUGACUCUUUGCGACCUCAUCGACUGUAGCCUACCAGGCUUCUCCGUCCGUGUGAUUUUCCAGGCACGAGUACUGGAGUGGGUUGCCAUUACCACAACAAAUAUCAUCAUAAUGAAAAAGCUUGAAAUGUUGUGAGAAUUACCAAAAUGGGACAAAGGGACAUGAAGUAAGCAAAUGCUGUUGGAAAAUGGCGCCAAUCAACUUGCUUGAUUUAGGGUUGCCACAAACACUCAAAUGGGAAAAAACAAAACAAAACAAAACAAAAUAAAACAAAAUACACACACUCUGUGAAGCACCAUAAAGCAAAGCACAAUAAAACAAGACGUGCCUGUAAUUAAAGCCCCCAAGUGUUUGCUUUCUUUUUUAUUUUGGUUUGUGUCUUACACUUGUGUUCAUAUUUAAAACAAAAUUCUUUCUCAAUGUUUUUGUCCAACAGAUCCCGUUAGACCACCACAUUUGUUUUCCUCAAGUUUGUUUUUUCCCCUGAGAAGACCUCUUCACAAACAUGGGUGCCAAACAGCGCUCCUUUUUGUUUAGAACUUGGAUGGUGUUUAUUGGUGCAGGAGCCAUUUUUCAGCCUAAGUAUGUUUCUUCAGGAGAGAAGAGUAUUCAUGGAUUUAAUAGCAUCUACUUGAGCAUUUGAUUACCUGAUCAAUUUUUCAUUUUCUGCGAAAAGAAAAAGGAUGAUUUUACACUAUGUGAAAGAAGACAACUAUCAAAGUAAGUACAGAGAGCACAUAUGUCAACAUAGUAAAGGCCAUUUAUGACAAGCCCACAGCCAGCGUAUAUUCAAUGGAGAAAAGUUGAAAGUCCUGCCACUAAAUUCAGGAACAAGACAAGGAUGCCCACUCUCACCACUUCUGUUUAACAUAGUGUUGGGAAUCCUAGCCACAACAAUCAGAAAGGAAAAUAAAUGAAAGGUGUCCAAAAUCA